ensembl:rRNA 5S_rRNA 5S ribosomal RNA
GCUUACGGCCAUACCAGCUAAAAAACACCAGAUCUCGUCUGAUCUCGGAAGCUAAAAGUGUUGCGCCUGGUUAGAACUAUGAUGGGAGACUGCCUGGGAAUACCAGGUGCUGUAAGCU